AUGUUCCCAGAGCCCUCUGUUGCCAAGGGGAGCAUCAAAGGGACCUGGAAAGCAGCAGGAGCAGCAAAAGAAGAAGACAAUGGCUCCCUCUGCAAUCCUAAGCAUCUCGGUGGUCUUAUAGACAAAGUGAUUAACCCCGUGCAGCGUCCUGCUGGAAAACGCAGCAGAGUGGGUGAGCGCUCUGCGGCUAAGGAGCAUGGCAAAGGGGUCUUGCAACCAGCAGGAGGAGCAGCAGAAAAGGAAGACACUGAUUCUUCCCUGGAUUCUGAGACUGAUCCUAAAAGUCAAGGGAGAGUGUGGACCAGUGUGUGGCUUCCUGCUGCAAAAGGCAACAGGUUGGAUGCGCGCUCUGCCAAAGUGGAAUGUGGCAAAGGUGUCUCGUCAGCAGCAUCAGUAGAAGCAGAAAAGGAAGAUGGUGAUCUCUCUUGGGGUUCUGAGGCUUUUUCUGAUAUUGUAAAGAAAGUGUUAGGUGGCAAGCGGCGUCCUGCUGCAAAACGCAAACCAGUGGGUGUGCGCUCUACUGCAGUGGAAUGUGGCAAAGGGGUCUUGAAACAAGCAUGUAGAGAAGGGAUGAAGGAAGAUGGAGUCUUGCAGCCAGCAGGGGGAGAAGCAAAAGACGAAGACAACGAUUCUCCCUGGGAUUCUGAGACUGAUUCUGAAGGUGAAGGGAAAAUGUCAGCUGCUGUCCAGCUUCCCACUGCAAACAGCAACAGUGAAGUGUCAGCUGCUGUCCAGCCUCCUGCUGCAAAGAGCAACAAGUUGUAUGCUGGCUCUGCUGCAGUGGAAUGUGGCAAAGGGGUCUUGAAACAAGCAUGUAGAGAAGAGAUGAAGGAAGAUGGAGUCUUGCAGCCAGCAGGGGGAGAAGCAAAAGAUGAAGACAACGAUUCUCCCUGGGAUUCUGAGACUGAUUCUGAAGGUGAAGGGAAAAUGUCAGCUGCUGUCCAGCUUCCCACUGCAAACAGCAACAGGUUGGAUGCUGGCUCUGCUGCAGUGGAAUGUGGCAAAGGGGUCUUGAAACAAGCAUAUAGAGAAGGGAUGAAGGAAGAUGGAGUCAUGCAGUCAGCAGGGGGAACAGCAAAAGACGAAGACAACGAUUCUCCCUGGGAUCCUGAGACUGAUUCUGAAGGUAAGGGGAAGGCAUCGGCCAAUGUACAACUUCCUGCUGCACCGCAAAACAGAGUGGGCGUGAGCUCUGCUGCAGUGGAGCACAUCAAAGCUGCAAGAGUAGAACAGAAGGAACAUUUCAUCUCCUCUUCUGAGAAUAAGCUUCCUGCAUUACACGGAGACGAUCUUCAGCUAAAGGUUGAUUCUUCAACUCAAACAGCUUCUGAACAGUACAAACAGCUCAAGUACCUGAAAGAACCUUUUCACAAGAAUGAUUAUUAUGCUGAGUCAGUAAAGAAUGUCCUAAAGGAGAAGAAGGUACUAACAGUUCUGAGGAACUUGCAAAGCUGCCUGGCUGAUUGUUUGGAUUCUUCAGCUGCAGCUAUCCCCCAGCUGGAAGAGCGCAUUCGACGGCUCCAAAUUCAAAGGGCAAGGCUGGAAGCCACAAUCCAGCAACAAGCCAAGACAAUUGAAGCUUUAGAGAAAAUCCAGCAAGUCUCUUACCGCAGUAAGCUACUCAGAGCUUUCCCUGUUCGUGAUCCGCAGAGCCUAGUUCAUGACUCCUCUGUGGACACCGGUCUUCGACACUGUGAUUUUCCACACACUAUCAAAAACUGCUUUGGAGAGAAGUUUGCAAAGUGAGCAAAUCCCUGAGGCUGGGUGCCCUGCGGGUGUUUCCACCAUUUUGGGUGUCUGUUCCUAUAAGCUUUGUAAUAGUUAGCAAUUUUGUUCUAGUGAUUACUAUCUAGUGAUUAGUUACUAUUAUUUUGUUCCCAUAAGAUUUGUAAAAGUUAGCAAUUUUGUAUCUAGUGAUUACUAUCUAUGAUUAGUUACUGUUAGUCUGUUCCCAUGAGAUUUGUAAAAGUUAGCAAUUUUGUUCUGGUGAUUACUAUCUAGUGAUUAGUUACUAUUAUUUUGUUCCCAUGAGAUUUGUAAAAGUUACUAAUUUUAUAUCUAGUGAUUGCUAUCUAGUGAUUAGUUACUGUUAUUUUGUUCCCAUGAGAUUUGUAAAAGUUAGCAAUUUUGUAUCUAGUUGUUACUAUCUAGUGAUUGCUUCUGUUAUUUUUUUGCCUGUUGCUGUUUCACUUAUCAAUAAAUUGUUAUAUAUUCA
rnacentral:lncRNA from 12 species